AUUCCGGUUGAUCCUGCCGGCGGCCACCGCUAUAGGAAUUCGAUUAAGACAUGCGAGUCGAGAGUCGUAAUGGACUCGGCGGACUGCUCAGUAACACGUGGAUAACGUGCCCUUAAGUGGAGGAUAAUCUCGGGAAAUUGAGGAUAAUACUCCAUAGACUACGAAAUCUGGAAUGAUUCAUAGUUGAAAGUUCCGGCGCUUAAGGAUCGGUCUGCGGCCUAUCAGGUUGUAGUGGGUGUAACGUACCUACUAGCCUAUGACGGGUAUGGGCCUUGAGAGAGGGAGCCCAGAGUUGGAUUCUGAGACACGAAUCCAGGCCCUACGGGGCGCAGCAGUCGCGAAAACUUCACAAUGGGGGCAACCCCGAUGAGGGAAUUCCUAGUGCUAGCACAAUUGUGUUAGCUUUUCUCUAGCGUAGAUAACUGGAGGAAUAAGGGCUGGGAAAGACGGGUGCCAGCAGCCGCGGUAA
rnacentral:rRNA from 1 species